UACGUAGGGGGCGAGCGUUGUCCGGAAUUAUUGGGCGUAAAGGGCUCGUAGGCGGUUUGUCGCGUCGGGAGUGAAAUCCACUGGCUUAACUGGUGGCUUGCUUUCGAUACGGGCAGACUGGAGGUAUGCAGGGGAGAACGGAAUUCCUGGUGUAGCGGUGAAAUGCGCAGAUAUCAGGAGGAACACCGGUGGCGAAGGCGGUUCUCUGGGCAUGUCCUGACGCUGAGGAGCGAAAGUGUGGGGAGCGAACAGG
rnacentral:rRNA from 1 species